rnacentral:misc_RNA from 1 species
CUAGUCCGUUCUCAUUCCCUCCUCUGAAGUUAUCUCUCACAAAUCAAAUUCUUCUCCCUCACUCUCUCUCUCUUCCAAAAUCAAAUCCCCUAUUUCUCUUUUUAUUUGACCACCAAAUUAAGAUGCUUUACUGGAAAUUCAAGUGAGCUUAUUCUUUCUGUUCUGAAAUGGGGUUGAGUUUGGUAUCAACGGUGGUGAGAUGGGGAUUGAAAUCGGGAACUGAUGCAGCCCCUGUUGAUUCUAUAACUUUGUUUGUGGCACUCCUUUGUGCUUGUAUUCUUAUCGGUCAUCUUCUUGAGAAGAAUAGAUGGAUGAAUGAGUCAAUUACGGCCCUUUUCAUUGGCCUCUGUACUGGGUUUAUUAUCCUGCUAACCACUAAAGGAAGAAGCUCUCACCUUUUUCUAUUCAAUGAAGAGCUUUUCUUUAUAUACGUUCUUCCACCUAUCAUAUUUAAUGCUGGGUUCCAGGUAAAAAAGAAGCAGUUUUUUCGAAACUUUAUGACGAUCAUAUUAUUUGGAGCUGUUGGGACUUUAAUAUCCUUCAUCAUCAUAUCAUUGGGUUCAAUGCAGUUAUUCAAGAAAUUAAAUAUUGAUUUCUUGGACACAAUGGAUUAUCUAGCACUGGGAGCAAUAUUUUCAGCCACAGAUUCUGUUUGCACCUUGCAGGUGCUCAAUCAGGAAGAAACACCUUUGCUUUAUAGUCUAGUCUUUGGGGAAGGUGUGGUAAAUGAUGCCACCUCUGUCGUGCUUUUCAAUGCAAUUCAACGAUUUGACCUCUCCCACAUUACCUCAAGCAUUGCCAUGCAGCUGUUUGGCAGUUUCGUAUAUUUAUUUGCUACAAGCACGUUGCUUGGGGUGGCAGUUGGAUUAGUAAGUGCUUAUAUCAUAAAGAAGUUGUACUUUGGCAGGCACUCUACUGAUCGUGAAGUUGCUCUGAUGAUUCUCAUGGCUUAUCUUUCAUAUAUUAUGUCUGAAUUGUUCAAUUUAAGUGCGAUUCUCACCGUGUUCUUCUGUGGGAUUGUCAUGUCGCACUACACCUGGCAUAAUGUGACUGAAAGUUCAAGAGUCACUACCAAACACGCAUUUGCAACAUUGUCAUUUAUUGCAGAAAUUUUCA